UACGUAGGUGACAAGCGUUGUCCGGAUUUACUGGGCGUAAAGAGCGCGCAGGCGGUCGUUCAAGUCGAGUGUGAAAGCCCCCGGCUCAACUGGGGAGGGUCACUCGAUACUGAUCGACUCGAAGGCAGGAGAGGGAAGUGGAAUUCCCGGUGUAGUGGUGAAAUGCGUAGAUAUCGGGAGGAACACCAGUGGCGAAGGCGACUUCCUGGCCUGUUCUUGACGCU
rnacentral:rRNA from 1 species